rnacentral:rRNA from 1 species
GGGAAACCGAGUCUUAACCGGGCGUUAAGUUGCAGGGUAUAGACCCGAAACCCGGUGAUCUAGCCAUGGGCAGGUUGAAGGUUGGGUAACACUAACUGGAGGACCGAACCGACUAAUGUUGAAAAAUUAGCGGAUGACUUGUGGCUGGGGGUGAAAGGCCAAUCAAACCGGGAGAUAGCUGGUUCUCCCCGAAAGCUAUUUAGGUAGCGCCUCGUGAAUUCAUCUCCGGGGGUAGAGCACUGUUUCGGCAAGGGGGUCAUCCCGACUUACCAACCCGAUGCAAACUGCGAAUACCGGAGAAUGUUAUCACGGGAGACACACGGCGGGUGCUAACGUCCGUCGUGAAGAGGGAAACAACCCAGACCGCCAGCUAAGGUCCCAAAGUCAUGGUUAAGUGGGAAACGAUGUGGGAAGGCCCAGACAGCCAGGAUGUUGGCUUAGAAGCAGCCAUCAUUUAAAGAAAGCGUAAUAGCUCACUGGUCGAGUCGGCCUGCGCGGAAGAUGUAACGGGGCUAAACCAUGCACCGAAGCUGCGGCAGCGACACUGUGUGUUGUUGGGUAGGGGAGCGUUCUGUAAGCCUGUGAAGGUGUACUGUGAGGUAUGCUGGAGGUAUCAGAAGUGCGAAUGCUGACAUAAGUAACGAUAAAGCGGGUGAAAAGCCCGCUCGCCGGAAGACCAAGGGUUCCUGUCCAACGUUAAUCGGGGCAGGGUGAGUCGACCCCUAAGGCGAGGCCGAAAGGCGUAGUCGAUGGGAAACAGGUUAAUAUUCCUGUACUUGGUGUUACUGCGAAGGGGGGACGGAGAAGGCUAUGUUGGCCGGGCGACGGUUGUCCCGGUUUAAGCGUGUAGGCUGGUUUUCCAGGCAAAUCCGGAAAAUCAAGGCUGAGGCGUGAUGACGAGGCACUACGGUGCUGAAGCAACAAAUGCCCUGCUUCCAGGAAAAGCCUCUAAGCAUCAGGUAACAUCAAAUCGUACCCCAAACCGACACAGGUGGUCAGGUAGAGAAUACCAAGGCGCUUGAGAGAACUCGGGUGAAGGAACUAGGCAAAAUGGUGCCGUAACUUCGGGAGAAGGCACGCUGAUAUGUAGGUGAAGUCCCUCGCGGAUGGAGCUGAAAUCAGUCGAAGAUACCAGCUGGCUGCAACUGUUUAUUAAAAACACAGCACUGUGCAAACACGAAAGUGGACGUAUACGGUGUGACGCCUGCCCGGUGCCGGAAGGUUAAUUGAUGGGGUCAGCGCAAGCGAAGCUCUUGAUCGAAGCCCCGGUAAACGGCGGCCGUAACUAUAACGGUCCUAAGGUAGCGAAAUUCCUUGUCGGGUAAGUUCCGACCUGCACGAAUGGCGUAAUGAUGGCCAGGCUGUCUCCACCCGAGACUCAGUGAAAUUGAACUCGCUGUGAAGAUGCAGUGUACCCGCGGCAAGACGGAAAGACCCCGUGAACCUUUACUAUAGCUUGACACUGAACAUUGAGCCUUGAUGUGUAGGAUAGGUGGGAGGCUUUGAAGUGUGGACGCCAGUCUGCAUGGAGCCGACCUUGAAAUACCACCCUUUAAUGUUUGAUGUUCUAACGUGGACCCGUGAUCCGGGUUGCGGACAGUGUCUGGUGGGUAGUUUGACUGGGGCGGUCUCCUCCUAAAGAGUAACGGAGGAGCACGAAGGUUGGCUAAUCCUGGUCGGACAUCAGGAGGUUAGUGCAAUGGCAUAAGCCAGCUUGACUGCGAGCGUGACGGCGCGAGCAGGUGCGAAAGCAGGUCAUAGUGAUCCGGUGGUUCUGAAUGGAAGGGCCAUCGCUCAACGGAUAAAAGGUACUCCGGGGAUAACAGGCUGAUACCGCCCAAGAGUUCAUAUCGACGGCGGUGUUUGGCACCUCGAUGUCGGCUCAUCACAUCCUGGGGCUGAAGUAGGUCCCAAGGGUAUGGCUGUUCGCCAUUUAAAGUGGUACGCGAGCUGGGUUUAGAACGUCGUGAGACAGUUCGGUCCCUAUCUGCCGUGGGCGCUGGAGAACUGAGGGGGGCUGCUCCUAGUACGAGAGGACCGGAGUGGACGCAUCACUGGUGUUCGGGUUGUCAUGCCAAUGGCACUGCCCGGUAGCUAAAUGCGGAAGAGAUAAGUGCUGAAAGCAUCUAAGCACGAAACUUGCCCCGAGAUGAGUUCUCCCUGACCCUUUAAGGGUCCUGAAGGAACGUUGAAGACGACGACGUUGAUAGGCCGGGUGUGUAAGCGCAGCGAUGCGUUGAGCUAACCGGUACUAAUGAACCGUGAGGCUUAACCUUACAACGCCGAAGGUGUUU